GGUUAAGCGACCAAGCGUACACGGUGGAUGCCCUGGCAGUCAGAGGCGAUGAAGGACGUGCUAAUCUGCGAAAAGCGUCGGCGAGGUGAUAUGAACCUUUGACCCGGCGAUGUCCGAAUGGGGAAACCCAGUGUGACUCGUCACACUAUCGUUAACUGAAUACAUAGGUUAACGAGGCGAACCGGGGGAACUGAAACAUCUAAGUACCCCGAGGAAAAGAAAUCAACCGAGAUUCCCCCAGUAGCGGCGAGCGAACGGGGAGCAGCCCAGAGCCUGAAUCAGCCAGUGUGGUAGUGGAAGUGUCUGGAAAGGCACGCGAUACAGGGUGACAGCCCCGUACACAAAACCGCACCGGUUGUGAGCUCGAUGAGUAGGGCGGGACACGUGGUAUCCUGUCUGAAUAUGGGGGGACCAUCCUCCAAGGCUAAAUACUCCUGACUGACCGAUAGUGAACCAGUACCGUGAGGGAAAGGCGAAAAGAACCCCGGCGAGGGGAGUGAAAAAGAACCUGAAACCGUGUACGUACAAGCAGUGGGAGCCUCUUUUAUGGGGUGACUGCGUACCUUUUGUAUAAUGGGUCAGCGACUUAUAUUCUGUAGCAAGGUUAACCGGAUAGGGGAGCCGCAGGGAAACCGAGUCUUAACUGGGCGUUAAGUUGCAGGGUAUAGACCCGAAACCCGGUGAUCUAGCCAUGGGCAGGUUGAAGGUUGGGUAACACUAACUGGAGGACCGAACCGACUAAUGUUGAAAAAUUAGCGGAUGACCUGUGGCUGGGGGUGAAAGGCCAAUCAAACCGGGAGAUAGCUGGUUCUCCCCGAAAGCUAUUUAGGUAGCGCCUCGUGAACUCAUCUCCGGGGGUAGAGCACUGUUUCGGCUAGGGGGCCAUCCCGGCUUACCAACCCGAUGCAAACUGCGAAUACCGGAGAAUGUUAUCACGGGAGACACACGGCGGGUGCUAACGUCCGUCGUGAAGAGGGAAACAACCCAGACCGCCAGCUAAGGUCCCAAAGUCAUGGUUAAGUGGGAAACGAUGUGGGAAGGCUCAGACAGCCAGGAUGUUGGCUUAGAAGCAGCCAUCAUUUAAAGAAAGCGUAAUAGCUCACUGGUCGAGUCGGCCUGCGCGGAAGAUGUAACGGGGCUAAACCAUGCACCGAAGCUGCGGCAGCGACACUAUGUGUUGUUGGGUAGGGGAGCGUUCUGUAAGCCGUUGAAGGUGUGCUGUGAGGCAUGCUGGAGGUAUCAGAAGUGCGAAUGCUGACAUAAGUAACGAUAAAGCGGGUGAAAAGCCCGCUCGCCGGAAGACCAAGGGUUCCUGUCCAACGUUAAUCGGGGCAGGGUGAGUCGACCCCUAAGGCGAGGCCGAAAGGCGUAGUCGAUGGGAAACAGGUUAAUAUUCCUGUACUUGGUGUUACUGCGAAGGGGGGACGGAGAAGGCUAUGUCGGCCGGGCGACGGUUGUCCCGGUUUAAGCGUGUAGGCUGACUUUCCAGGCAAAUCCGGAGAGUCAAGGCUGAGGCGUGAUGACGAGGCACUACGGUGCUGAAGUGACAAAUGCCCUGCUUCCAGGAAAAGCCUCUAAGCAUCAGGUAACAUCAAAUCGUACCCCAAACCGACACAGGUGGUCAGGUAGAGAAUACCAAGGCGCUUGAGAGAACUCGGGUGAAGGAACUAGGCAAAAUGGUGCCGUAACUUCGGGAGAAGGCACGCUGAUAUGUAGGUGAAGUGAUUUACUCAUGGAGCUGAAAUCAGUCGAAGAUACCAGCUGGCUGCAACUGUUUAUUAAAAACACAGCACUGUGCAAACACGAAAGUGGACGUAUACGGUGUGACGCCUGCCCGGUGCCGGAAGGUUAAUUGAUGGGGUUAUCCGUAAGGAGAAGCUCUUGAUCGAAGCCCCGGUAAACGGCGGCCGUAACUAUAACGGUCCUAAGGUAGCGAAAUUCCUUGUCGGGUAAGUUCCGACCUGCACGAAUGGCGUAAUGAUGGCCAGGCUGUCUCCACCCGAGACUCAGUGAAAUUGAACUCGCUGUGAAGAUGCAGUGUACCCGCGGCAAGACGGAAAGACCCCGUGAACCUUUACUAUAGCUUGACACUGAACACUGGUCCUUGAUGUGUAGGAUAGGUGGGAGGCUUUGAAGCGUGGACGCCAGUCUGCGUGGAGCCGCCCUUGAAAUACCACCCUUUAAUGGCUGGUGUUCUAACGU
rnacentral:rRNA from 1 species